rnacentral:piRNA from 1 species
GCAGUACUCCCCUUCAGCUGAUGCUUUGCUC